rnacentral:rRNA from 1 species
UUGAACGCUGGCGGCAGGCCUAACACAUGCAAGUCGCACGGUAACAGGAAGAAGCUUGCUUCUUUGCUGACGAGUGGCGGACGGGUGAGUAAUGUCUGGGAAACUGCCUGAUGGAGGGGGAUAACUACUGGAAACGGUAGCUAAUACCGCAUAAUGUCGCAAGACCAAAGAGGGGGACCUUCGGGCCUCUUGCCAUCGGAUGUGCCCAGAUGGGAUUAGCUAGUAGGUGGGGUAACGGCUCACCUAGGCGACGAUCCCUAGCUGGUCUGAGAGGAUGACCAGCCACACUGGAACUGAGACACGGUCCAGACUCCUACGGGAGGCAGCAGUGGGGAAUAUUGCACAAUGGGCGCAAGCCUGAUGCAGCUAUGCUGCGUGUAUGAAGAAGGCCUUCGGGUUGUAAAGUACUUUCAGCGGGGAGGAAGGGAGUAAAGUUAAUACCUUUGCUCAUUGACGUUACCCGCAGAAGAAGCACCGGCUAACUCCGUG